rnacentral:lncRNA from 10 species
CAAGGCACACAGGGGCCUGAGAAACAGGCACAAAUGUGCGUGCAACACACACAGGUCCACGGAGCAGUUCAGAGCAGUAGCUCACACACAGGAACAAAGGCAUCUCAGUGGCCUCCCUCGCAUACUCACUGUCUCCCUCACCAGCUCUCAGACACAGACAUAUACAAUCUGAGAUGGAAAUGGGUUUUUGGCUUCUGAAAGAAAGGGAUUGAACUUUUUGAGCAGAUUAGAGUUUCUGAAUUGGCAGUUCUUGAGUUCUUAACUAUAUUUUGCUUGUUUGCUUUUUUUUUUUUUUUUCCUUUCUGCCACCCAGGGAGAGGAAUCAUUUCAAAGAAUUGAAAUACAUGAAAUGCUGCUGCAGGCCCCUGAUCUGCAGUCUGCCCACCCACUCAAAGACCAGGUGGAGCCCAUAGCCUGGGCCUCACAGGCCAGAGUCUGCAGGCCAGUGUCCAGCUCAGAGCCCUCAGUGCCAUCUUCAUACAGGAGCCAUCAGCUGGCAGUCCUCCCUGUCUCCCCCAGGGCUUCUGGCAGCCCUCAGACCACAGUGUCUGUGCAAGGCCAAGGCUCAGACACCUCUUUUGGAGUAUUACUGUCCUACUCAAAAACCUGGAGGAUAAGCUGAACUGGCCUUCAGGCCUCCAUGAGCUGGCCCCAGCCCCCCACCUAAGCCUGUGUUCCCCUUUCCAUUCCUCCACACAAAGUCAGACUCCUCCUGCACCAGCUCCUGCCCCAGCCAUCAUCUGCGUUUUCCCAUCAGUGCCCUCUCUCCCAGUUCCUCUUCCUGAAAUACCAUCUUCUAGCCUUUCCGCUUAAUCUUUGCCAAGUGGUCCUUCAAGGCCUCCCAGAAAGUGUUGAGGUAGAGAUAAUGCUUCUGCAACUGGGGUCGUGUUGCAGAAGGUCCUUGGGAUAUUGAGUGUCUAUUCUUAGAGUUUUGUGGAGAAAGGAAAUGUACAUAAUACAUUUCUCAGGUCUUGGAAAACUUGAUGUAAAGAGCUUGGGAUUUGGAAUCAGGGAUUCAAUCUCAUUAACUGAGUGACCUAGUAUUUACACAAAUUUCAAACAAACAAACAUCUGUGACAACAUCUUAUACAACUUGGUUGGGUAUAACUCUGCCAGGGGGCAGAAAUAACUUGAACCUCUCUUUUCUUCUUUCUUUCUUCCCCUUCCUUCCUUCCUUCCUCUCUCUCUGUCUCUUUCUUUCUUUCUUUCUUUCUUCCUUCCUUCCUUCCCUCACUCCCUCCUUCCCUCCCUC